CAUCCUCCAAGGCUAAAUACUCCUGACUGACCGAUAGUGAACCAGUACCGUGAGGGAAAGGCGAAAAGAACCCCGGCGAGGGGAGUGAAAAAGAACCUGAAACCGUGUACGUACAAGCAGUGGGAGCACCCUUUGGGGUGUGACUGCGUACCUUUUGUAUAAUGGGUCAGCGACUUAUAUUCUGUAGCAAGGUUAACCGAAUAGGGGAGCCGGAGGGAAACCGAGUCUUAACCGGGCGUUAAGUUGCAGGGUAUAGACCCGAAACCCGGUGAUCUAGCCAUGGGCAGGUUGAAGGUUGGGUAACACUAACUGGAGGACCGAACCGACUAAUGUUGAAAAAUUAGCGGAUGACCUGUGGCUGGGGGUGAAAGGCCAAUCAAACCGGGAGAUAGCUGGUUCUCCCCGAAAGCUAUUUAGGUAGCGCCUCGUGAAUUCAUCUCCGGGGGUAGAGCACUGUUUCGGCUAGGGGGCCAUCCCGGCUUACCAACCCGAUGCAAACUGCGAAUACCGGAGAAUGUUAUCACGGGAGACACACGGCGGGUGCUAACGUCCGUCGUGAAGAGGGAAACAACCCAGACCGCCAGCUAAGGUCCCAAAGUCAUGGUUAAGUGGGAAACGAUGUGGGAAGGCCCAGACAGCCAGGAUGUUGGCUUAGAAGCAGCCAUCAUUUAAAGAAAGCGUAAUAGCUCACUGGUCGAGUCGGCCUGCGCGGAAGAUGUAACGGGGCUAAACCAUGCACCGAAGCUGCGGCAGCGAACGUAUCACUUAAAGCGAUUCAGCGGGUUACGAUUGACGGAGCGAAGCGACGUCAAAGCGUAUACAAAGUCGAGUCGGUUUAAGGAUACGUUCGUUGGGUAGGGGAGCGUUCUGUAAGCCCGUGAAGGUGGCCUGUGAGGGUUGCUGGAGGUAUCAGAAGUGCGAAUGCUGACAUAAGUAACGAUAAAGCGGGUGAAAAGCCCGCUCGCCGGAAGACCAAGGGUUCCUGUCCAACGUUAAUCGGGGCAGGGUGAGUCGACCCCUAAGGC
rnacentral:rRNA from 1 species